AACGAGGCCGACCUGCGGCUGAGUUACCUGCGGAGGGAUCAUUAACAAUUGUCCACUAUAACGGAUAAUUUUAUCCAUAUCCACCUUGUGUGCAUCAUUGAUGUGUUAGUUGGCAGGUUUAGCCCUCUACUUUAUUGUGAGGGGUUGUUUGGGUUCUAAGCGCCGAAAUAUUUCGGUGCUUGUCCCAGCCUGCCAAUUUUUACGUUUAAACAUGUCUAAAUAAUUGGUCUGAAAUAGAAA
rnacentral:misc_RNA from 1 species